ACGAACGCUGGCGGCGUGCCUAAUACAUGCAAGUAGAACGCUGAAGAGAGGAGCUUGCUCUUCUUGGAUGAGUUGCGAACGGGUGAGUAACGCGUAGGUAACCUGCCUUGUAGCGGGGGAUAACUAUUGGAAACGAUAGCUAAUACCGCAUAACAAUGGAUGACACAUGUCAUUUAUUUGAAAGGGGCAAUUGCUCCACUACAAGAUGGACCUGCGUUGUAUUAGCUAGUAGGUGAGGUAACGGCUCACCUAGGCGACGAUACAUAGCCGACCUGAGAGGGUGAUCGGCCACACUGGGACUGAGACACGGCCCAGACUCCUACGGGAGGCAGCAGUAGGGAAUCUUCGGCAAUAGGGGCAACCCUGACCGAGCAACGCCGCGUGAGUGAAGAAGGUUUUCGGAUCGUAAAGCUCUGUUGUAAGUCAAGAACGAGUGUGAGAGUGGAAAGUUUACACUGUGACGGUAGCUUACCAGAAAGGGACGGCUAACUACGUG
rnacentral:rRNA from 1 species